rnacentral:lncRNA from 1 species
GCCUGGCGUACUUUAUAGGCGGUGCUGUGUCAGAAGUCCCAAGGUGUCUUGUUGUCUCCCUUUUGGUGUGAGCUGCCAUUAAUGAUCAUGACCCAGAUCUUUUAAUUCAUUAGAGGGUUGCAAGAUGAUGAUAAUCUAUUUUUUUUUCACUUAUGUGGAAUACUCCUAUACCAUGAAACAUCCUAUCACCAACUAUGGAGUUACUUUGAGGCAUAGCUCAUUUAGGGACAGCUGGUUUUCAGAAUAAUACAUCUAGCAUCUUCAAAAUGUGACCACUGAAAAAAACAGGAGAGACAAAUUGAGUAGCCCCCAGGCUGAGGACUGGAAACAGUGCUGAGGUUGAGGACAGCCAGGCUACUGACAGCAAGCACAGAGGGUGGGGGGCAGAGGAGAGUCCUGCUUCUCUAACCCAGCUACUUGCGCUUUCCACUGGUCGGGGAUGUUGUGUGUGCUGGGGUUAUUUUAAGCCACACAGUGAAUGUGGUUCAUCUUCUGGGGGAUAUCAAUUUUACUUGAAGAGUGGGGGAAAUGUUUUCUACACUAAAAUAAAUACAGAAACUUUAUGGAAUAAGGUAGAAAAAGCACAUGCAUUUUAAAGUGAAAAACAGAUUUUUCUCUUUUGCUGUAGGUCUUUUUAUGCAUGAUUUUCAGACCUCAGGGAUUUGUCUUCUAUCUUCUGCUUGUGGGAAGCGCUGCACCAGAACAUUGCUUGUGGGUCUGUUCAGCCUGAAGGGCCACAGGCCGAGGAGACAGGCCAACUCUAGCCCCGGCAAGCAUGUCAGAGAAGCCGACUUGGCCUCCAGCACAGCACCCUGGGCCAGGAGCACAUUCUGGGUGUCGAUUGCCACAGACCUCCACGUUGAAGCUCAUGUAACUGG